rnacentral:rRNA from 1 species
UACGGAGGGUGCAAGCGUUAUCCGGAUUUACUGGGUUUAAAGGGCGCGUAGGCGGCCAGCGCAAGUCAGUUGUGAAAUCUCCGGGCUUAACUCGGAAAGGUCAACUGAUACUGCGCGGCUAGAGUGCAGAAGGGGCAACUGGAAUUCUCGGUGUAGCGGUGAAAUGCGUAGAUAUCGAGAGGAACACCUGCGGCGAAGGCGGGUUGCUGGGCUGACACUGACGCUGAGGCGCGAAAGCCAGGGGAGCGAACGGG